rnacentral:lncRNA from 1 species
UAUUUGGUUCGAGGAUGCUAUUAUAGGUGGAAAGGGAGAGUGAAGAUGAUGAUUUAUCUGAUGGGUAGAAUAUGGCGAAGAUGAUCAUAGCAUGGAAGAAGAUGAUGAUGUAGGGAGUGACGUAGGAGACAAUGAGGAAGAUCAUGUGGUGGAGAAAGCGAAGAAUUUGAUGAUAUAAUAAUUAGGAAGAUAGUGAGAGUGGUGAUGAAGGAGAUGAUGACAAUAAAUGCUUCUAAAGAAGAGUUUGAAAAAGAAUAGAAGCUUCGUUCUCAAGAACAGUAAAAUUUAUCUUAAAUUCUUAACUA